rnacentral:rRNA from 1 species
UACGUGAGGGUGCAAGCGUUGUCCGGAAUUAUUGGGCGUAAAGAGCUCGUAGGCGGUUUGUCGCGUCUGCUAGUGAAAACCCGAGGCUCAAACCUCGGGCCUGCAGUGGGUACGGGCAGACUAGAGUACUGCAGGGGAGACUGGAAGUUACCUGGUGUAGCGGUGGAAUGCGCAGAUAUCAGGAGGAACACCGGUGGCGAAGGCGGCCGGCUGGGCCGGAUCCGACGCUGAGGCGCGAAAGCGUGGGGAGCAAACAGG